GGAGAAGUGGUGGCUGCUGGCAGUACUGUGCCCACCAGGGGCCCAGGAACAUUGUGGGACCCCAAACAUAAGCCAAAUCUGCUGUCAGCACACAAGAGAAAGAAAUACCUCUUCAGAGUAGGAUACUAGACAGAGCAAGUUGACCACAGAACGCAAGGCCAACAGUGAGAGCUGAAAAGAGAAGACAAGGUGAACAGAUUAAAGCAGCUUGUACACAGCGAGACCAUUAACACUGCAGUUUUUCGAUGCAUGGGUUAUGCUGCAACACACAAACAGAACCUGUCAGAGUUGCUAUGGCUGGCUGCCAGAAAUAUCUGGUUAAAAAGAAAUGUCAGGAUUCAUCAAUGCUUGCGUGGUCUUCAUGUUGUUCAAAAGCACUUGCGAUAACACUAAACUCAGGCCAUAGGUUCUAGAAGGAGGGAGGAACUGAGGAGCUCCAUCCUUCUAAUGUCUGGGCAUGAGGCUUCAUUUAACCCUGCUGGUAGAGAAGAAAGGGGGAUCUUGUGAUGCAGUGGUAGUGCCCCUACCUCUGGACCAGAAGUUCUGGUUUCAAGUCCCAGUUCAGGAGGAUGGCUAUUGUAAGGCAAGUUCAAAAAUUGAGAAAACAGAUUGAUUAUCAACCUGUAAAUCCUUCCAAUACACUUGAUUGCAGGUGGUAACGGUGGGACAAUUUCCUGGUCAGCCAUACUACAGAAGGCAAUGGCAAACCAC